GACGAACGCUGGCGGCGUGCCUAAUACAUGCAAGUCGAGCGAACCUGCAGGAGCUUGCUCCUGUUGGUUAGCGGCGGACGGGUGAGUAACACGUGGGCAACCUGCCUGUAAGACUGGGAUAACACCGGGAAACCGGUGCUAAUACCGGAUAAUCUUUUUCCUCUCAUGAGGAAAAACUGAAAGACGGUUUCGGCUGUCACUUACAGAUGGGCCCGCGGCGCAUUAGCUAGUUGGUGAGGUAACGGCUCACCAAGGCGACGAUGCGUAGCCGACCUGAGAGGGUGAUCGGCCACACUGGGACUGAGACACGGCCCAGACUCCUACGGGAGGCAGCAGUAGGGAAUCUUCCACAAUGGACGAAAGUCUGAUGGAGCAACGCCGCGUGAGUGAUGAAGGCCUUCGGGUCGUAAAGCUCUGUUGUUAGGGAAGAACAAGUACCGGAGUAACUGCCGGUACCUUGACGGUACCUAACCAGAAAGCCACGGCUAACUACGUGCCAGCCGCCGCGGUAAUAC
rnacentral:rRNA from 1 species